AGAACUACAAUAUCUUAAUAGUAUAGUGCGGAAUGAUGCCUUUACACGCUUCAGUUACGCUCUAAUAAACUCCUUUCAAUAGCGAGAAAAUAUGAGCUGUCAAGUGAAUGGCAUCCACCAUCACCAUGACAACGGGUCGUGAACAGCCAAUCCCAGCUCGCCAUUUCAUCCGGGACCUCAAGAUGGCCACACUGAUACAAUAUAGUUUAAUUUCCAGCCAAGAUGAGAGUUAACCGAGACAUAUAUGGUGGAUAAAAAGCUCUUAAAAAUAUGGGUGUUCCGAGGAAAGUAUACCACUAGGGAAUGUGGGUUACAUUAGUAAUGGAGGAAUAUUUUGAGAGCAGACGAAACUAAAGGUACAGUUACUAGUUAGUGUUUUUGUGUGUUUGUUUAUGUGUGUGUCGUGGAGGAGUGAUCUGUGCCUGACCAUGUGGCUGUAUAAUGAACCAGGCUGUUGCCACGGUGACGGUGGUGGUGGGCAUGAUACAGAUGCGGGAGGUGGAGUUUGUGCCCGAUAGAGACAUGCAGCUGGACAAAUUGUGUUGGUCAUUGGUCAGACUGGAGUUUACAUGUGUACCUCCUUCACCAUCAUUGGUGGACACUUCACCAUGAGUGAUGCUUGAGCUGUCACGGUGCUGCUGCUGCUGUUGUCUGCCAUCAUCACCCUGACACAGACCACCCUGCAGACCACCUUCAUCCUGGGUGCCACACGUCACUGCUGCUACAACUCAGAGCAACUGGAGCGCAAGCCAGGAAGGGAGAUGGUAACUCCUCACUUAAUUUGUUGUUUAUUUGAGGGCCUAAUGACAGACACAUAAUGGAAUGAGUAUUUGUGAAUGUUUGUUUAUAUCUAGAUACAGCAUUCACAUAUCUUUUAAGUGCCACCUUCCAAAAACAAUGUCAGCCAGAAAAAUAACUGAUGAAUCUAAUUACAUUUCAAGUCAAAAAGUUUUCCUUUAACCACUUUGCUCCAGAUGCUUAAAAACAUGCGUUGCUCACAUACAUGGUGUCACGUAGGCUCGUGAGUGGUAACUUAUCUAAUUUCUAAUAAUUUCUAAUAUAAUUUCUGUGUGUGUGUGUGUGUGUGUGUGUGUGUGUGUGUGUGUGUGUGUGUUUUAUGUAUGAGUGACACUGGCCAAGGGCAACAAAAAUCCAAUAAAAAAAUAUGCCCACUGAAAUGGCAGUCCCAUAAAAGGGUCAAAGCAGUGGUCAAAAGUUGAUGAAUAAGUGUCUUGAAACCUCCCUCUUGAAGGAAUUCAAGUCAUAGGAAGGUGGAAAUACAGAAGCAGGCAGGGAGUUCCAGAGUUUACCAGAGAAUGGGAUGAAUGAUUGAGAAUACUUGUUAACUCUUGCAUUAGAGAAGUGGACAGAAUAGGGGUGAGAGAAAGAAGAAAAUCUUGUGCAGCGAGGCCGUGGAAGGAGGGGAGGCAUGCAGUUAGCAAGAUCAGAAGAGCAGUUAGCAUGAAAAUAGCGGUAGAAGACAGCUAGAGAUGCAACAUUGCGCUGUGUUGCCACGGUGACGGUGGUGGUGGGCAUGACACAGAUGCGGGAGGUGGAGUUUGUGCCCGAUGGAGACAUGCAGCUGGACAAAUUGUGUUGGUCAUUGGUCAGACUGGAGUUUACAUGUGUACCUCCUUCACCAUCAUUGGUGGACACUUCACCUUGAGUGAUGCUUGAGCUGUCACGGUGCUGCUGCUGCUGUCUGCCAUCAUCACCCUGACACAGACCACCCUGCAGACCACCUUCAUCCUGGGUGCCACACGUCACUGCUGCUACAACUCAGAGCAACUGGAGCGCAAGCCAGGAAGGGAGAUGGUUACCUUCUUGUUGAUGUGCAAUCUUGCUAUGUGGGCGAUGAACACCUCUGAGACAUCACGAGCAGAUGCCCAUCCAGCACAGCUCAACUUGUAUGGAAUCUGGACCUGGACCAUCAUAUCAAUGCCACUGGCUUUGAUAUGUGUUUGAUAUGGCUUCUAUUGCUUUCAAGUCACCAUCUGCCUCUGUGAAAUAUGGAAGAUCUUACAAGCUCAAGCAUGAGUAUUAAGCAAGUUAUAGGAAUGCUAGUAUGAGUGUGGUGUGUCUGAAUUAGCUGUCAGAGUAUUGUAAAUAUUAUUACUUAGUCUUCCCAGUUAUGAAAUUAAGAACAGUUGUGAAGUUUGCUUUAAAACCCUUCAUUAACUUUGGCCACAAAACACUUUUACAUGUUAUCAAAAGUGUGUAACUGUUAUGAUGUGUGCAUAUAUAUCAUUACUACAGAAGAAUCUGGAAUUUCCCCUCAGAUUACUUUAAUGAAUGAAGCUUGAGUUCACAGAUGUGUGGUUUGUCAAUUUCACCUGUAUUCUCUCCUCUAUGGCAGUCUGUUCUGGCAAAGUUUCAUUUGUCAAAAGCAUUACAGUUUGUAAAUGAUGCGUCUUCAUAUGCCUUCACUAGCAAUUAUGAAUUACACUAUGGUCAUGGAUUUUGUUCUUUUAAUACAGUUGCCUCAAGAUAUUCUGAGCUUUACAAUGCUGUCUUUAGUACACUGCAAGAAAAUACAGAAAUUUCAUGUGGCAACAUUUAUUUUUAAAACAUUAUUUAUUACUUUUAAAAAUAGCAAUGUGGGGCUUCCUUAAUGCAAAUAGUCUUGCCCCAAAAAACUUGUGAUGUCAGACACUAACUUCUCUUAACACAGCACAACCAAAACCACUCAAAAUUAUACAUUAAUUUUUUUUAUAGAGCAACAUGUGUGGAAAGUGCUACCAGAAAUAUUUGCAUAACAAAUAUUUGGUUCUGGACCUUAGCACUUAUACAGUACUGCACUAACUUACACACAAGGUUAAUUAAUGAUGUAA